ACCACUGCUGCUUCCCAAUAACACGAAUCCCCAAAGAUCCACAACUCAGGGUCCCAAAGUUCACCUGGGGACACUGCUCUCCACAACAAAUUGCCAUCAUUACCUGAGAUGCUUUUGAAAAGAUGGAGGCUCAAAGGCAGUCAUCCAAAGAGUCAGAGGCACUGUGGGAAGGUGUUCUGACCUUCUGAUGUGUGGCUUUGUGCUCAGUCAACAUUUGUCAGCCCUUGCAGGUUGUCUCUUGGAAGACUCUCAGAGACAUGGUUACCAAAAUACAUCCAUCAGAAAGGAAUCACAGGAAUAAACAGUGAGGUAAGCUUGAGAAAUCGUGGAUGGGAAGUUUGAAGGAGAGGGUCAAAUUACAGGGCGUUUGGCAUCAUUUCUCCUGUUUUUACCAACUAGAGCUAAGAGAAAGCACAAUUCCAGACUAAACUUUCUAUUCUGAAUGGCCUGAUUUGCUUAAGUCAUUUAGGCUACUGCUCUGAAUUUAAGACUUGAGGACCAAAUACAUAUUUUUAAUCACUUUUUAGAGAUUUCAUGGAAGAUUAUUUACCUCCAUGACCAGGCACAUUCUUUGGACAUACGCAGUUCAGAAGCCACCCUGAUAUAACAGGAAUUUAAACACUGUUUUAAGUACAUUAGCUAUGCCUCUUAAAUCUAACUACGCAAUGUCUUUUAUCUUCCUAAUCCAGUGGUACUGGAAAACAAUGAGUGUCUCAACUUUCUCAAGAGCAUACUAGCUUUCUCAACAAUCUUUUUCCUUGGAUUGUCCUUUUUUCUCACCUUUCAAUUUUAAUCUUUUCUUUAAUUCUUGCCUAAGAGGUUUUAUAAGUGGUUUUCCUCCUAGCCCUACCUACUAACAGGGGGAAAAAAACCAACCACCUUCCAUUAGCUUUUCUAAAGCUUUAUAAAGAGCACAAAUUAUUCAUUUUACUUUUCUCACUCUUUUCUACCCUUUACAAUUUUCCACGGUCUGUGAAUAUUUAUAAAUCAGACAUUCACCUGUGCUAUUUACAGUUGCAUCUUUAGUGAAGGUUUAGAAUGCUUAUUUUGGGCCAUUACAAAUAUUCCUAAAUUUACCCAGGAGGACCAAAGCUGCAGGCUCCUUAAACCCAUUUAUGCAUUUGUCUUACCACUAGACACAUACCUUUGCUACUGUGCUACAUCUGAGAUUCAAAUAGAAAAUAUGUUCAUGAAAAAUAUUAGUGAGAGAAUAUUAUUUUCUACAUUAACACACCCAAUUGGAAAAAUAUCAAUUAUUCUUUGGAGGCCAAGAACUUGUCCCUUUAAUUCUUUCAAGCAAGAAACUUUCUUGGUCCAAGACUAUACUAAAAUCAUGGGUUUGAUAGCUAUGGCCCUUCAACCCCUAGCUCCCCAAUUUUGUAAGAUGUUAGUGUAGUUGGUCUGAAGAAGAACAAACGACUGAGCAUAAAUAACGACUGAGCAUAAAUAUCUGCUGAGCUCAUACUUGGAAACAUGCCAAAUCCAGCAGCUGCCUAGUGGGGAAAUGGUCAACUCUGAAGAUACUUGAAGAGAAAAGAUUAUUGUAAAAUAGUCAUUUCAUAACAGGGCUUUUUUUUUUUUUUACCAGUUAAGUAACCACAGUUAAAAAUAAUCAGGAGUUUGAGUCACAUCUUAAGACUUUAGAAUUGGGCACAUUUCUUUUUUAGAGUUGUGGACUAGUUAGCUUUGUAUUGUCAAUUCUCUCCCUUUCUUAACACCAGCACUGAGACCCAAAUGGUUUCUCAAAAGGUAGUAAUGCUCACUGGUUGGGCUUGUAUUGAUCGGCAAAGAGUUAUGGAAUUAUUCC